GCCGGGAUGUAGCGUACAGUGGGAAUGGUGAGGAGAAGGGAAAAGGCUUAGGGGGUGGGAAUUAGGUGCAGGGCCACCAGGGAUGGGGAGGCUGGUGCCUAAUGACAUGAUGCUGGCUUGCAAGGUAGCCCCAGGUCCUGGCAGCAUUUGCACCGCCAUAGUGCUCCUUUCUUUCUCCUCUCCCCUUUUUCCAGCAAAAAAGAAGCUCAAAGAGGAGGUCAGUCUGGAACUGCCCAGCGCAACAAACAGUCUGCUGCAGAGUGUGCAAACCAGAAGAGCUGCAGUGGCUCAGGGUUUCAGCAGGGUAUGAAUGAGAGACGGCCAUUCUCCACAAACAGAGACCCACAAGGAAACUUGGCUCAGGACUGCAGCCCGGCACCCGGCCGCCAGGGACAGAGUGGAGGCACCAACACCUACCAGCCGCUGGACUGUGAUCGAAUUCUGCACGGGGUAAAGGGUGGAAGGAUUUUCUGCAGCGAAUCCUCACAACCUGUCUGUGGCACUGAUGGGAAAACAUACAAAAAUGAAUGUGACUUGUGUUCAGCUGCCAUGAGAGCAUCAGUUUACAUCACAGUAAACUAUCGAGGUGAAUGCCGAAAGACUGUCCCUGAAAUGGUAAGUGCCUCCCUGCUACGGCAUCCUGGUUUUUGUUCUAGUGUGUGUUGGAGUCCCAGCCUGGAUCCUGUAUCUGUGGUGGGAUCAUCAGAGCCCUCUUAGGAGGGUGCAUGUAGUCCACACAUGAAACACACUUCAGAUUCAGGUUUAAGUCAUUUUGAAGCAUAAUUUCCAUGUUUUCCC
rnacentral:lncRNA from 1 species